UAAACGAUGUAAACUAGUUGUGGGGAUUCAUUUCCUUAGUAACGUAGCUAACGCGUGAAGUUGACCGCNUGGGAGUACGGUCGCAAGAUUAAAACUCAAAGGAAUUGACGGGGACCCGCACAAGCGGUGGAUGAUGUGGAUUAAUUCGAUGCAACGCGAAAAACCUUACCUACCCUUGACAUGCCACUAACGAAGCAGAGAUGCAUUAGGUGCUCGAAAGAGAAAGUGGACACAGGUGCUGCAUGGCUGUCGUCAGCUCGUGUCGUGAGAUGUUGGGUUAAGUCCCGCAACGAGCGCAACCCUUGUCUCUAGUUGCUACGAAAGGGCACUCUAGAGAGACUGCCGGUGACAAACCGGAGGAAGGUGGGGAUGACGUCAAGUCCUCAUGGCCCUUAUGGGUAGGGCUUCACACGUCAUACAAUGGUGCAUACAGAGGGUUGCCAAGCCGCGAGGUGGAGANAAUCCCAGAAAAUGCAUCGUAGUCCGGAACUGAGACACGGCCCAGACUCCUACGGGAGGCAGCAGUGGGGAAUUUUGGACAAUGGGCGAAAGCCUGAUCCAGCAAUGCCGCGUGUGUGAAGAAGGCCUUCGGGUUGUAAAGCACUUUUGUCCGGAAAGAAAUGGCUCUGGUUAAUACCUGGGGUCGAUGACGGUACCGGAAGAAUAAGGACCGGCUAACUACGUGCCAGCAGCCGCGGUAAUACGUAGGGUCCAAGCGUUAAUCGGAAUUCUGGCGUAAAGCGUGCGCAGGCGGUUGUGCAANACCAUGUGAAAUCCCGACUUACUUGGGAAUUGCAUUGGUNCUGCCCGCUAGAGUGUGUC
rnacentral:rRNA from 1 species